UGCCCCGUGGCUGAGUUGGUUACAGCGUCCGACUGUUAUCAGAGCAACAAUCGGAAGGUCGUGAGUUCGAGCCUCACCGGGGCAG